UACGUAGGGUGCGAGCGUUGUCCGGAAUUAUUGGGCGUAAAGAGCUCGUAGGCGGCUUGUCGCGUCGGAUGUGAAAGCCCGGGGCUUAACUCCGGGUCUGCAUUCGAUACGGGCAGGCUAGAGUUCGGUAGGGGAGAUCGGAAUUCCUGGUGUAGCGGUGAAAUGCGCAGAUAUCAGGAGGAACACCGGUGGCGAAGGCGGAUCUCUGGGCCGAUACUGACGCUGAGAAGCGAAAGCGUGGGGAGCGAACAGG
rnacentral:rRNA from 1 species